CUCGCGAGAGUAAGCUAAUCUCUUAAAGCCGUUCUCAGUUCGGACUGUAGGCUGCAACUCGCCUACACGAAGUCGGAAUCGCUAGUAAUCGCGGAUCAGGAUGCCGCGGUGAAUACGUUCCCGGGUCUUGUACACACCGCCCGUCACACCAUGGGAGUCGGAAAUGCCCGAAGUCUGUGACCCAACCGCAAGGAGGGAGCAGCCGAAGGCAGGUCGGAUGACUGGGGUGAAGUCGUAACAAGGUACC
rnacentral:rRNA from 1 species